CUUGAGGAAGAGGGAAUGAGAAGAUCAUGAAGAGAGAAGGAUCCUGGAGAGAGAGAAUCCCUGCUGUGAGUUCAGGGAGUGCAGUGUUCAGCUGAACAGAGAAGAAAAAUAAUCACGGAAUCUAGUGAGAAGACUCUCUAAGAUGUUUUUUAUGAAGAUGUUUGUCACA